AUGCAUGACGGUUUCUCUGUAAAAGUGAAAUCUGUGGAUGGUUUCCAAGGCGCAGAGGAAGACGUCAUUAUCAUAUCAACAGUGAGGAGCAAUAAAGCUGGUUCUGUUGGAUUUCUCACGAACAUGCAGAGGACCAAUGUGGCUCUGACAAGGGCUAAGCACUGUCUAUGGAUAGUAGGAAACGGGACGACUUUGUCCAACAGCAAGUCUGUUUGGCAGAAGAUAGUCAAGGAUGCGCGUGACCGAGGCUGCUAUUUUGAUGCCAGUGAAGACAAAGAUCUGUCAAACGCGGUAGUCAAGGCCAUCAUCGAGUUUGAUGAUGCGGAGAAUUUAGUGAGAAUGGACUCGCUGCAUAUAAGCAAGCCAAGGUUUCAGCAAUCAAGGCCCAAAUACCGUGCAUGA
rnacentral:rRNA from 1 species